CGUCCAGAAGGUGGAAUCGAACCACUCCGCUUUUAAACGGCUACAGGUUUGUAGUCUGCACCUAGGACCACCGAGGUUCAUCUGGGC
rnacentral:tRNA from 1 species